GAGAGAGGUAUAAUACAAUAAGAACUGCUAACUCUUAUACCUGAGACUAACAACCCCAGCUCCCUC